rnacentral:rRNA from 1 species
UACAGAGGUCUCAAGCGUUGUUCGGAUUCAUUGGGCGUAAAGGGUGCGUAGGUGGCGCCGUAAGUCGGGUGUGAAAGCCCUCGGCUCAACCGAGGAAUUGCGCUCUAAACUGCUGUGCUUGAGGGACCUAGAGGUGAGCAGAACUGAUGGUGGAGCGGUGAAAUGCGUUGAUAUCAUCAGGAAUACCGGAGGCGAAGGCGGCUCACUGGGGGUCUUCUGACGCUGAGGAACGAAAGCCAGGGGAGCGAACGGG